UCUGCAUUGUCCAGCUGAGACUUUUCUUUCCAUAUCAUUACUGUCUAUUUUGUGAGUGCUUCAAGAACCUCAGUUGGGGGGCGCCUGGGUGGCUCAGUGGGUU